rnacentral:tRNA from 3 species
GCCGUGGUAGCUCAGCUGGGAGAGCGUCUGACUGAAGAUCAGAAGGUCGGGUGUUCAAAUCACCCCCACGGCA